rnacentral:rRNA from 1 species
UACGGAGGGUCCAAGCGUUGUCCGGAAUCACUGGGUGUAAAGGGUGCGUAGGCGGCCUUUCAAGUGACGGGUGAAAUCCCUCGGCUUAACCGAGGAACUGCCUGUCAGACUGGGAGGCUUGAGACCGGGAGAGGUGAGUGGAAUUCCCAGUGUAGCGGUGAAAUGCGUAGAUAUUGGGAGGAACACCAGUGGCGAAGGCGGCUCACUGGACCGGUACUGACGCUGAGGCGCGAAAGCGUGGGGAGCAAACAGG